GGUUAAGCGACUAAGCGUACACGGUGGAUGCCCUGGCAGUCAGAGGCGAUGAAGGACGUGCUAAUCUGCGAAAAGCGUCGGUAAGGUGAUAUGAACCGUUAUAACCGGCGAUGUCCGAAUGGGGAAACCCAGUGCAAUUCGUUGCACUAUCGUUAACUGAAUACAUAGGUUAACGAGGCGAACCGGGGGAACUGAAACAUCUAAGUACCCCGAGGAAAAGAAAUCAACCGAGAUUCCCCCAGUAGCGGCGAGCGAACGGGGAGCAGCCCAGAGUCUGAAUCAGCUUGUGUGUUAGUGGAACGGUCUGGAAAGUCCGACGGUACAGGGUGAUAGUCCCGUACACCAAAAUGCACAGGUUGUGAACUCGAAGAGUAGGGCGGGACACGUGGUAUCCUGUCUGAAUAUGGGGGGACCAUCCUCCAAGGCUAAAUACUCCUGACUGACCGAUAGUGAACCAGUACCGUGAGGGAAAGGCGAAAAGAACCCCGGCGAGGGGAGUGAAAAAGAACCUGAAACCGUGUACGUACAAGCAGUGGGAGCACCUUCGGGUGUGACUGCGUACCUUUUGUAUAAUGGGUCAGCGACUUAUAUUCUGUAGCAAGGUUAACCGUAUAGGGGAGCCGCAGGGAAACCGAGUCUUAACUGGGCGUUAAGUUGCAGGGUAUAGACCCGAAACCCGGUGAUCUAGCCAUGGGCAGGUUGAAGGUUGGGUAACACUAACUGGAGGACCGAACCGACUAAUGUUGAAAAAUUAGCGGAUGACUUGUGGCUGGGGGUGAAAGGCCAAUCAAACCGGGAGAUAGCUGGUUCUCCCCGAAAGCUAUUUAGGUAGCGCCUCGUGAACUCAUCUUCGGGGGUAGAGCACUGUUUCGGCUAGGGGGUCAUCCCGACUUACCAACCCGAUGCAAACUACGAAUACCGAAGAAUGUUAUCACGGGAGACACACGGCGGGUGCUAACGUCCGUCGUGAAGAGGGAAACAACCCAGACCGCCAGCUAAGGUCCCAAAGUCAUGGUUAAGUGGGAAACGAUGUGGGAAGGCACAGACAGCCAGGAUGUUGGCUUAGAAGCAGCCAUCAUUUAAAGAAAGCGUAAUAGCUCACUGGUCGAGUCGGCCUGCGCGGAAGAUGUAACGGGGCUAAACCAUGCACCGAAGCUGCGGCAGCGACACUAUGUGUUGUUGGGUAGGGGAGCGUUCUGUAAGCCUGCGAAGGUGUGCUGUGAGGCAUGCUGGAGGUAUCAGAAGUGCGAAUGCUGACAUAAGUAACGAUAAAGCGGGUGAAAAGCCCGCUCGCCGGAAGACCAAGGGUUCCUGUCCAACGUUAAUCGGGGCAGGGUGAGUCGACCCCUAAGGCGAGGCCGAAAGGCGUAGUCGAUGGGAAACAGGUUAAUAUUCCUGUACUUGGUGUUACUGCGAAGGGGGGACGGAGAAGGCUAUGUUAGCCGGGCGACGGUUGUCCCGGUUUAAGCAUGUAGGCUGGUUGUCCAGGCAAAUCCGGAUAAUCAAGGCUGAGGUGUGAUGACGAGGCACUACGGUGCUGAAGUAACAAAUGCCCUGCUUCCAGGAAAAGCCUCUAAGCAUCAGGUAACAUCAAAUCGUACCCCAAACCGACACAGGUGGUCAGGUAGAGAAUACCAAGGCGCUUGAGAGAACUCGGGUGAAGGAACUAGGCAAAAUGGUGCCGUAACUUCGGGAGAAGGCACGCUGGUGUGUAGGUGAAGUCCCUGCGGAUGGAGCUGAGACCAGUCGAAGAUACCAGCUGGCUGCAACUGUUUAUUAAAAACACAGCACUGUGCAAACACGAAAGUGGACGUAUACGGUGUGACGCCUGCCCGGUGCCGGAAGGUUAAUUGAUGGGGUUAUCCGUAAGGAGAAGCUCUUGAUCGAAGCCCCGGUAAACGGCGGCCGUAACUAUAACGGUCCUAAGGUAGCGAAAUUCCUUGUCGGGUAAGUUCCGACCUGCACGAAUGGCGUAAUGAUGGCCAGGCUGUCUCCACCCGAGACUCAGUGAAAUUGAACUCGCUGUGAAGAUGCAGUGUACCCGCGGCAAGACGGAAAGACCCCGUGAACCUUUACUAUAGCUUGACACUGAACAUUGAGCCUUGAUGUGUAGGAUAGGUGGGAGGCUUUGAAGCGUGGACGCCAGUCUGCGUGGAGCCAACCUUGAAAUACCACCCUUUAAUGUUUGAUGUUCUAACGUUGGCCCCUUAUCGGGGUUGCGGACAGUGUCUGGUGGGUAGUUUGACUGGGGCGGUCUCCUCCCAAAGCGUAACGGAGGAGCACGAAGGUUAGCUAAUCCUGGUCGGACAUCAGGAGGUUAGUGCAAUGGCAUAAGCUAGCUUGACUGCGAGCGUGACGGCGCGAGCAGGUGCGAAAGCAGGUCAUAGUGAUCCGGUGGUUCUGAAUGGAAGGGCCAUCGCUCAACGGAUAAAAGGUACUCCGGGGAUAACAGGCUGAUACCGCCCAAGAGUUCAUAUCGACGGCGGUGUUUGGCACCUCGAUGUCGGCUCAUCACAUCCUGGGGCUGAAGUAGGUCCCAAGGGUAUGGCUGUUCGCCAUUUAAAGUGGUACGCGAGCUGGGUUUAGAACGUCGUGAGACAGUUCGGUCCCUAUCUGCCGUGGGCGCUGGAGAAUUGAGGGGGGCUGCUCCUAGUACGAGAGGACCGGAGUGGACGCAUCACUGGUGUUCGGGUUGUCAUGCCAAUGGCACUGCCCGGUAGCUAAAUGCGGAAGAGAUAAGUGCUGAAAGCAUCUAAGCACGAAACUUGCCCCGAGAUGAGUUCUCCCUGAGACUUUAAGUCUCCUGAAGGAACGUUAAAGACGAUGACGUUGAUAGGCCGGGUGUGUAAGCGCAGCGAUGCGUUGAGCUAACCGGUACUAAUGAACCGUGAGGCUUAACCUU
rnacentral:rRNA from 1 species